rnacentral:rRNA from 1 species
GUCAAUGGCCUAACGGCUGAACUGGCAACUUGGAGAAGUGGCAAGUCUUCCAGUAUGGGGAGCAAACAGCUAUGGGUCAAGCCCGAUACCUUUAAGAGAAGUCUUAUUGUGAGGGCGAGUUGUAUAACACCAUAGGGCUGGCCGUCCCAUAUGAAAAGAUUUUAUUAGAAUUGAAUGAAACUUUGUUUAUAUAUUGAUAAUGACAGUAUAUAUAUCGUGUCUUGACUAAUUGCGUGCCAGCAGUCGCGGUAAUACGUAAGAGACUAGUGUUAUUCAUCUUAAUUAGGUUUAAAGGGUACCCAGACGGUCUAUAUAGCUUAUAAAAUGUUAGUAUAAGACUAGAGUUUUAUGUAAGAGGGCAGUACUUGAGGAGGAGAGAUGAAAUUUCGUGAUACCAAAGGGACUCUGUAAAGGCGAAGGCAGCCCUCUAUGUAAAAACUGACGUUGAAGGACGAAGGCACAGAGAACAAACAGGAUUAGAUACCCAAGUAGUCUUUGCAGUAAAUGAUGAAUGCCAUAGGUUAGAUCUAUAUUUCUAUUAUAAUAAUACAUUUCUAUUAUUUAUUCUAAAACGCAUUCCUUAUAUAGCUUCGCGCUAUAAUAUAUUUUAUAUAUAGUGCAGCAGAAAUUAGAAAUUUUUGUAUCUGGUCUAUAAAUGAAAGUGUAAGCAUUUCACCUCAAGAGUAAUGUGGCAACGCAGGAACUGAAAUCACUAGACCGUUUCUGACACCAGUAGUGAAGUAUGUUAUUAU